CCUACGGGUGGCUGCAGUGGGGAAUAUUGGACAAUGGGCGAAAGCCUGAUCCAGCCAUGCCGCGUGUGUGAAGAAGGCCUUCGGGUUGUAAAGCACUUUCAGUGGGGAAGAAAGCCUUGGGGCUAAUACCCUCGAGGAAGGACAUCACCCACAGAAGAAGCACCGGCUAACUCCGUGCCAGCAGCCGCGGUAAUACGGAGGGUGCGAGCGUUAAUCGGAAUUACUGGGCGUAAAGCGCGCGUAGGCGGUCUGAUAAGCCGGUUGUGAAAGCCCCGGGCUCAACCUGGGAACGGCAUCCGGAACUGUCAGGCUAGAGUGCAGGAGAGGAAGGUAAAAUUCCCGGUGUAGCGGUGAAAUGCGUAGAGAUCGGGAGGAAUACCAGUGGCGAAGGCGGCCUUCUGGACUGACACUGACGCUGAGGUGCGAAAGCGUGGGUAGCAAACAGGAUUAGAUACCCUAGUAGUC
rnacentral:rRNA from 1 species